UCAGCCUGCAGCCAGCAGGGCCACACCCUCCCUACCUCUGCCUGUCUGUCAUCACCUUUUUCAGAACCUUCCUUAGCAACAAGACCAGAAAGAGAAAGCAGGACCUCCUCCCAAAGUGGACAGACAGAUCAACAUGGCAGACAACACAAAGGCCCUCAAUGAUAAGUUACACACAUUCAUUUUUCCUGAAGAUAUUUAUUAACAUCCAAACAUAUUUUCAACAGGGGUGGGCAUGAUUCCUAACUUCCCCAGGAUCCAUGUUUUCAAAGUCUCCCAAGGAACCCAUCUUUCGUGAACCUUCUGAAGACUCGAUCUCUGCAAAAGGGAAGUGGAUCCAUGACUUUCAUCAAGUUCUCUAAAUGAUGAAAAAGAUUAGAAAACACUACCUUAAGGCUUGGUGAAAAUUAAGAGAAGACAUCCAGUACCAAAACUGGCCUGAGCUUCCCCAGGGAGCAGAGAGAAGAGUUACAGGUGAAGAAAUUGCAGGAUUCCAAAGAAAUGCAACAGUGAUUUGACUUCAAGACAGUUGGGUGUUCAA